AACAAUCGUUUUCAAUUUUCUAAUUUCUAAUUCAGUAUGGUAUAAAGUUAUAAAAGCUGCCCUCGUGAAUGUUUUGACUUUUAAUCAUAUCAUCCUCCUUUAGUCCUUUGUAACUGUCAAUUUAGUUUCCAAAUUCCACACCAUCCAAUUGGUAUUUCAGAAAUCAUCUUAGUUAUUGUUAUAAGAUUUCCCUAGUUUAUAAUGUGUA
rnacentral:lncRNA from 1 species